AACCUCCGCAGGCUGGCCCCCCCCAGGCUGGGCUGGGCGAGUAUCUUUUCGAAAGGCUCAUUCUCAAGCACGACUAGGAGC
rnacentral:pre_miRNA from 12 species